GGCGCGAUGGCCGAGUGGUUAAGGCGACAGAUUAGAAUAUCUUGGUGUACCAACUCACGCUAUAUCUGUUUCGGUUUCCGAGCGCAGGUUCAAGUCCUGCUCGCGUCG